AAAGGAGGAGGAGGGUUGGGUUUAAAACCUUAGGUAUCACUGGUAACUCUGAGACUCUGCAGUUUCAAAUACAUAAAGAUAUGACCCCGAAAGCACCAGAAAACAUGUUUGCCAUGUAGCAACUGAAUUCCCAAUUCCCUGUUUGCAGAAGUACCUUCCAAACUAGGAUUCUACCAUCAACAACUAGAUCAUGACUCCAAGGAGCAAGUUUGGAGUGUAAACUAUCAGGUGUAGGCUGAUUACAUGUUUCCAUAGUAUUGGCAAUAUGUUCAGCAGUUCCAUGAUUCUACAAAAUCUCUUUGGUGAAAAGUGAAUGCAAAGAUUUGGCACUUGAAUGGAUAUACAUGUCGAUGGGUAACUUGGAUGAGGCACUUUAAUCUU